rnacentral:lncRNA from 1 species
AGAAUAGUAAUAUUUAAAGUUUUUCAUGAUUUUGUGAAAUCAUUUUGAAACUGGAUGUAAAUGUAGGACCAAUUCUUUCCCAAAAUCUUGCAUGAUGAAAAAAAUAAUUCUUUAAGUCUGAUUAUUUUUCUCUGUACUUAAUAUUCUUGAUUAUUUAUUGAGAGUAGCAAAGAUUAAAUUAUACUCUAGUUUGAAAGAAUCAGAGUGGGGUUCCCAGAUGAAGAGCCACUUAACUGAGUUCUGGAGAAUGCCAAGGUGAUGAGAAAAGCAAGAUUGUUUCUAUUAGAGGGAACAUGUAAAUGAAAGCACAGAGCAUUAAUAGAAAAAUGUAUGUUCCAACUGUUUUUCAAAGAGAUAAGAUGAUAAUAAAAUACCAAGAUAUAGAACUUAAAAAUCACUAUAGGAAAGAAAAAUAGAAUUAAGAACUGAUGGAACCAUGAAAAAGCAGAAAACAUAAAAUAAGAUGAGAGAAGUAAUGUUGAUACUUUAUCACAAUAAAUGUUCAUGGACAAAACCUCCCCCACUAAAGGACAAAGACUCUGAAAUUGAACCAGAUUGAAAAUUCAGAUUUUGCUUCUUUAUUGAAAAAAAAAAGGCUGAGCGAAAAUGACAUUGCAAAGUUAAAGUAAAAAUAGAUAGAAAAAUGUAAGUUGCAGAAGAAAAGGAAAACUGCAGAGGUAGUAAUACUGCCAUUAAAUAAAGCAGAAUUUGAGGCAAGAAGCAUUCAGUGGCACGAGGUUAUGUACCAGUUACUGUUUCCUCAGCUAUAAAAUAGAGAAAAUAACAAGUGAGGUUAAGAAAAUAAUGGAGAAAAUGAGUUCUGUUUGAAUCCUAAGUGAGAUGAUGCUUAAAAGCACUUACUGUAGUGCCACCCGGUACAUGGAGUUAAAUAAACGAUGGGUGUGUAAAACUCAAGAGGCAUCAUUGGCCAAUUCCUUCAGAAUUUCUCUUGUAUCUCACCUUUGUUCUCCACUCCCAUUUCUAUGACCCUAGCAAAUCUCUCUGUACAUUUCUGCUGGAUUACAAAGAUAAUCCCUAACUGUUCUCCUUGUCUCUAGUUUUAUGAACUUCUAUGCACAGAUUAAUCUUCUUAGAAUGCUAUUUUUAGUAUGUCACUCUUUGGCUCAAAAUUUAUAUACAAGAUGAAAUCCCAAUUUUCCAGCUUGUUAUUCAAAGCCCUUUAAAAUCUACUGUGAUCCCACCUUUAUUUAUAGGCUUAUGCUGUACUCCCGCUCUGUAAGAACUCUCCAUCCCAGGAAUGUCUACCUUUUCAAUAGCCCUGAGAUAUAUUUUAAUCACUUCUCUCUCUGAGCCUUUCUUUGUUCACACUUGUAAUCUUUCUCCAGCUAUUUCCCCAUCAGCCUUUCCUGUCCCAUCCCCCAGUGUCAACUGUAUCUUCCUGUCUCCUCUUUAAAUGCAAAGAAACUUUCCCUUUAUGAUGUCCAAGGAAUUAGGUGCUGUAUUCCAAUACUGAAAUAAAUCCUCCUUUGUAUCACUUUUUACCCUGUAUCAUCAGAUUUAAAAGUGUUGAUUGUGAGAUGAAACAUUAUUGCAUGUAUUACCAAGAAAGAGAGAAAGCUUCCAAGUACAGCAUGACAUUCCAUUGAUUUUUUUCUUUUUUUUAAAUGGAAGUAUAAUUGAUUUAUAAUGUUGUGUUAGUUUAAAUACAUAUGUAUAUAUCUGAUAUAUAUAACUGAUAUAUCUGAUAUAUAAUGUUGUGUUAGUUUCCAAUAAAUAGAUAGAUAGAUAGAUAGAUUCUUUUCCCUUAUAGGUUAUUACAAAAUAUUGAGUAUAGUUCCCUGUGCUACACAGUAGGUCCUUGUUGAUUAUUUCAUAUGUAGUAAUAUGUACCUGUUAAUCCCAAACUCCUAAUUUAUCCCUCCCCCACUCCCCCUGUGCAUUCCAUUGAUUUUUUUUCUUUGUUUUUGUCUUUUUGUUGUUUAAAAGAUGGAAAAAUGUGCAUCCUGGGUUCCGUAAAAUGUAGUAGGUGAUUCAUACAUAUGUUUAUUUAUUCAGUAAAUAUUUCCUGAUUGCCUAUCUUAUGCUCCAGUCAAGGCACCAACAUUCAAGCUUAUCCUCUUCUGUACUCAGGCUUUUACUGCCUCCACCCCCUCGCCCAGGAAGGACUGUAAAGCCUUUACAGGCAGAAAUUGUUUUUAAUUUUAUUCAAGUAUAGCUGAUUUACAAUAUUGUGAUAACUUCUGCUGUACAGCAAAGUGAUUUCGCCAUACAUAGACACAUAUCCAUUCCCAUAUAGAUUGUCACGGAAUAUCCAAUAGAUUUCUCUGUGCUGUACAGCAAGUCCCCACUGGCCAUCCGUUCCAUAUACAAAAGUGUGCCUUGGCCAUUCCCAGAACCCCAGUCCGUCCCUACCCACCCCUAAGCCUUCCCCUUUGGUAACCAUGGUUUGUUUUCAGAGUCUGUGAGUCCCUUUGAGUUUUGUAAAUAAGUUCAUUUGUGUCAUUUUUUUAAGUUCUGCAUAUGAGUGAUAUCAUAUGGUAUUUGUCUUUCUCCAUCUGACUUACUUCACGUCGUAUGAUAAUCCCUAGGUCCAUCCCUGUGGCUGCAAAUGGCAUUAUUUCAUUCUUUUUAUGACUGAGCGAUAUUCCACUGUAUACAUGUACCACAUCUUCUUUAUCCAGUCUUCUGUCGAUGGACAUUGAGGUUGUUUCCAUGUCUUGGCUAUUGUACAUAGUGCUGCAAGGAACAUUGGGGUGUGUGUAUUUUUUCCAAUUAUGGUUUUCUCCAGAUAUUUGCCCAGGAGGGGGAUUGCUGGGCCAUAUGGUAGUUCUAUUUUUAGUUCUUUACAGCACCUCCCUGCUGUGCUCUGUAGUGGCUGCACCAAUUUGCAUUCCCCCUGACUUAUGAAGUCUUAUAAAGGCAGGCACAGGCACCUUGACUUUAUGUGUCUACAGGGAGUGUUUCACACAGUUUUGUAUAUAGUAGGCACGCUAAAUAUUAGUGCGAGGUAAUGAAUUAAAAAAGGGUGCACCCAAAGUAAUAAAGGGUGUUUUAAAUUCAGACACAAGAGAACACACAGUCUGUGAAACCUAGUUAGGUUUUAGGCCUCAGGGCUGUCUCAGGGGGUCUGGAGGAAGCAAAGGAAAAGAGAGAAUUUUACAGAGGAUCUGAAUGAUUCACCACUGCCUUGGGAAGUUUCCUUCUUCCCAAUUAUUUAAAAUAGCAAAUCAGCAGAUCCUUGUCAUUUGUUGAUUUCAGAUUUCUGGUUGUCACUGUUUAUGAGCCACCCCAGAGUCCACAUCGUCUUGAAAUGUGCCUUUUUCCUGGGAAUUGAGUCACCUGGGAGGUUGACCCAUGCAAGGGCGUCUCGCUGCCAAGCCAGGUGGUGGGCGCAGACUGCCGCCCGGGCAUCUCAGUAUCUCCCUGUAGCUUUGUCCUUCUCCUCUUCGACUGUGUUCUAUAAUUUGAGGAUUCUGAAGACCACAGGAUGGAUCCCUUGAGAACCCCAAGGGCCCAAUCAAGUAGUCUUGAUGCGGGGGGAGGGGGGGCUCCCCAUUCUUGGAGGUUCAUGUUCUUUGAGAGAGGACACUCCUUGUAGAACUGAGUGGGGAGAGGACCAUGUCAGCUGCCAGCAGUGCUCAUUCAUUCAAUCAACCAACGCGUAAAGAGAUUAACAUUCUGCUAGACUUGGCAUUAGGGAUGGAGCCUAUACAGUGAGGAAUGCUCCCUUAAAUUAGGACUGUCCUUUAAAGCACUUCCAGGCUUGUCAUUGUUCUGUCACGCUUUCACUUUUGGCCCUCACCACCACCACCCAGGAUAACAGCCAGGGAGGGAACCUCUUGUUAGUCCCAUUUUACAGAUGAUGAGAAUGAGGCUCAGAGAGAUCAGGAGAACUGCCCAAAUUCAGAUGGCUACCAGGGUCUCCCAAACUCAUGCCUCUUGAUCAGCAAUCACAUGCUCUUUGCCAGACGAUACAUGCAGAGAGUCAGGAAUUAUCAGUGGGGAUGGAUGGAAUUUCAGAAUAAUUCCCUAGAAGUCUUGGAUGGUAUUCUAGAAACAUCACCCCCAUCCCCGACCGCCAAACGCAAAAGUCAAGGAACCAUGCCAAAGAGUGCCAGCGCAAUUGAGCAUCGGAAGCUUCUCUGCAAACCAAAUUAGCCUUGGAAAGUGACAGGGAAAUGGCCAAUGUCCCCUAUGGUUUCAUUCAACCCUCUGGGCUUGUCUGUGGCUUGGCCUGACCAUGGAGCUCCAGAUGGAACGGAUAGCGUUUGGGGCCAGGCUUGCGGUUGUGUUAUGACGGCAGGUUGGCGUCCUGCCAGGUGGGGCCUUCACCCUGUCCUCCCGCGUGACCCCGGCCCACUUCGGCUGGCCGAAUUAUUUAAAUAUUGUACAUUACUAGUUAAUAGACACAACAUAUUGAAAGUUUUACAAUAAAAUAUUUAUGCUGCUAGAAAACAUUUUACAUGCUCUUUAAACAGCCAUGUCAUCUAUUUAUUUUCAUUCUCUGAUCUUUCUGUUUUGUAUCAGAAUCAGAGAAUUUAGCCUAUUUACCCAGAAGUAAAUAUUAUGAUGAAAACAUUGGUCAGCUCAAAAGGAGACUUCGUAAAGCGCACAAGUAUUUUUUGUUAGUGUCAAUUGCACAACAGUCCCUGCGUGGUAAUAAAUUCAGAAAUUUCUCUGGGAUGCUGGAAGCAUGGAGAUGAAUAUUUCAUGGCUAGAGGCUACCCCUACCUGCCUUUGGCCUCCUUCGUGCAGCAGCCUUGCCACUCUUUCUGGCCAUUCAUUCCUUUUGUGAAACAGAGAGAAACUCUUCUGGGGCUGAGUGGGCAUUUGCAGGUGCCUGUGGUCAAGGGCAUGCAUUCAGUACUGAACCUUGGGCUGCAAGUAAGUGCUGACACUUUAUGGUCUGAAGUCCUCUGUUUGGCAGCCGAGGCCACACAACCUUCAGCUUGGCCGCCUCCUUUUUUGCCAACUACUCCUAAGUUUUGAAAACUUCUCCCUAACUCUGUCAUGGUUGCUGCUUUAUUAGGCUUAACAGCUAGUCAUCAUGAUUCAGGGGCAAUUUAUUUCUGCCUGAGAGAGGGUCCAGCCAGUACCUCCUCUUGUUACUGAGUCAGAGAUGGAGAACUCCUUGAAUAUCAGUGGGGUUUUUUUUCCAUGUCCUUUCCAAGAAUGUUCUUAAAGAUGCAAAGAAAGUACUAGAACUUGAAAGUGUCAGAAAGCACCAUCUCUUACCCCCACCCACCCCAAUGUCCAUAGGAGCACUCUGCACAGUAGCCAAGACUUGGAAGCCACCUAAGUGCCCAUCAACAGAAGAAUGGAUAAAGGAGAGUGGUACAUAUACGCAAUGGAGUAUUACUUAGCGAUAAUGAAUAAAAUAUUGCCAUUGGCAGCAAUGUGGCCGGACCUAGAGAUGAUCAUACCAAGUGAAGUAAGUCAAAGAAAGACAUUUAUCAUAUAAAUAGCACUUAUAUGUAGAAU